AGGAUGCUUGAUCCUGAAGGGUUAGCAGCA
rnacentral:piRNA from 1 species